GUUCUUGGUCAUUUAGAGGAAGUAAAAGUCGUAACAAGGUCUCCGUAGGUGAACCUGCGGAGGGAUCAUUACAAGUGACCCCGGUCUAACCACCGGGAUGUUCAUAACCCUUUGUUGUCCGACUCUGUUGCCUCCGGGGCGACCCUGCCUUCGGGCGGGGGCUCCGGGUGGACACUUCAAACUCUUGCGUAACUUUGCAGUCUGAGUAAACUUAAUUAAUAAAUUAAAACUUUUAACAACGGAUCUCUUGGUUCUGGCAUCGAUGAAGAACGCAGCGAAAUGCGAUAAGUAAUGUGAAUUGCAGAAUUCAGUGAAUCAUCGAAUCUUUGAACGCACAUUGCGCCCCCUGGUAUUCCGGGGGGCAUGCCUGUUCGAGCGUCAUUUCACCACUCAAGCCUCGCUUGGUAUUGGGCAUCGCGGUCCGCCGCGUGCCUCAAAUCGACCGGCUGGGUCUUCUGUCCCCUAAGCGUUGUGGAAACUAUUCGCUAAAGGGUGUUCGGGAGGCUACGCCGUAAAACAACACCAUUUCUAAGGUUGACCUCGGAUCAGGUAGGGAUACCCGCUGAACUUAAGCAUAUCAAUAAGCGGAGGAA
rnacentral:rRNA from 1 species